AAUCGGCGCCACAAACAUAAAUAGAACGGCCCGAGGAAGGUUUGCUCCGCGCGCUGGUGGGAGGGGGUGACGGGCGCGCGCGCUCUCUCGCCUGCCUCCGGCUGCGCGGGGCGGGGCGGGGACGCCGUGCCGAUGUGUCGCCUUCUUCUUCCCCGCACCCUCCGCUGAUGUCACGCGCGCAAGCCCGGGCGCGCCUCGCGCGCGUGGUGGGAAAAGGGGGUGGUGCCGGCGGCGCCCUCAGUGCCACCAUGUAGGGAAUGGAAUGCGGGGGCGGAGCCGCCGCAGCCUCAACCCGGUCACCUCUGCUGGGAAAGCCGGGUUGAGGGGGGAGGGAGCGAACGCAGAGAAAUACGGUAAUGACACAGGAGCGGCGGCGGCGGCCGCCUCCCGGGGGAAGGCGGGGGCUGUUCCGCUUCCAGCCUCUCAGCCGGGGCGCCGCCGGCGCUGGAGCUGCGGCAAGACGGCGGAGACGCGGCGGAGAGCAGGUGAGAGGCGCCCCCGGCCGGCUCGCAACGGCUGCGGCCCCGCGCGGGGAGAGAGAGGCCUGGGCUUCGCCCGUUUCAGCCCCCCGCUGGGGCAGGAGCCGGGGUCGUUUUCCCCACGCGCGACUGAAACAGCCCUGGGCGCGGCUCUGUGGGGCGAAGCCAGUUUCAGGUCGCCCCCGGGGCAGGAGCCGCGGUCGGUUUCCCCACGCGUGACGCAAACAGCUCCCCCCUCCCCCGCCCCUCAGGCUGUCCCGUCUAUCAGAGGCACUACGGUAGUCGCGCGGCCCCACGCGCGCCCCCGCGGCCGUUACUCCCGCGAGGAGCGCGGGGCGCGAGCUGGACGUUGCCGCCUCGCUCCGCAGAUGGUCCGGGCUGGAAGCGCUCCGGUAGCCCAAGGUGAAGGGCUUGGUGCCACAACUCGCAGUCACUUCUUUCUGAAAGGAACAUAAUCAAU
rnacentral:lncRNA from 1 species